AACGAACGCUGGCGGCAUGCCUAACACAUGCAAGUCGAACGAGACCUUCGGGUCUAGUGGCGCACGGGUGCGUAACGCGUGGGAACCUGCCCUUAGGUUCGGAAUAACUCCCCGAAAGGGGUGCUAAUACCGGAUAAUGUCUUCGGACCAAAGAUUUAUCGCCUUUGGAUGUGCCCGCGUUGGCUUAGCUAGUUGGUAGGGUAAAAGCCUACCAAGGCGACGAUCCAUAGCUGGUCUGAGAGGAUGAUCAGCCACACUGGGACUGAGACACGGCCCAGACUCCUACGGGAGGCAGCAGUGGGGAAUAUUGGACAAUGGGCGAAAGCCUGAUCCAGCAAUGCCGCGUGAGUGAUGAAGGCCUUAGGGUUGUAAAGCUCUUUUACCCGGGAUGAUAAUGACAGUACCGGGAGAAUAAGCUCCGGCUAACUCCGUG
rnacentral:rRNA from 1 species